CUAUAAAUUGCAAUUAAUAUGUAAAUUGAUACAAGAUUGGAAAAUUAGUAACAAGUGCUACUAUCAUACAAGUACUACGUAUCAUAUUAUACAUUACAUAUAUUGCACAUUAUAUAUUUAUUUCCUUUAAAACUAAAAAUAUCAAACGCUCCAAAAUUAUAUGUUUAAUACAUUUUGCAUGGCAGAGCAACAUCGUAAAAUGCUUAUUACAAACGUUGUAUUAAAAUGUCGAGACCGUAACACGAGGAGAGAAUUCAGUGUCGCGAUAAUAACGUUAAAUAAUUGAGUUUGCGACACGGAAAGGGGUUAACUUUUAUUAUCACGCUUGUGGCGCGUAACGACUCGACUUUCAGAGAAAAUAAUUAGUCGAAACGGAGGCUAAUUGAGCGUGGUUGGCGUAAUUCGACGGUGAUUUUCGUGGAAAUGAAUAUGUAACGUAAGCUAGGCUGGUCAACGGCUUUGCGUAUUGUUCGUUAUACUGUGUAAUUAUGUGCAAAUUUAUGACUCACCGUGGACCUUGGCUUUAGGAUAACGGAUUUACCGUGCGUACCAGUAGCGCUCUGCGAAAAGAGAAGAAAAAAAGAAAAGAAUAAGCACCUCGUAUACAUGUAAAAAAUGUAAAACAGUUGGCGAGGUAACUGUAACGUGUGUAAUUGCUGUUCGAAAGAGUUAUGGUGUUAUAGUGCUGUAGUUGGAUAAUUGUUCGAAAUGUAACAUUUAAUAUGAUGAAAUAUGUAUUUGCAACAGUGGUUCGAAAUACGUAAUUCUGAAUAAUUCAACGAGCUAAGAAAUAUGUAACUUGUUACUGUUAUGUAGCACGUUUAAUAGAAAAGAACCUUCUUGGGAAAAGUUCUUUCCAAUUAAACAGAUUAUGUGUCUAACAGUUUUCUUUCUUUCAAUAUUAUGAUAAAUUUUAUGAAGUAUUCAAUGAAGAAUCUAAUAAAAAAGAUAAAAUAAAUUGCAUUGCGAAAUAUUGUAUUUCGCUACAAGAUGAUUCACAGGGGACGAUAUUACGUAGUCUAAUUUGUUUAAAUUAAUUCGAAUAUUUUAUUGAAUCGGUUUAAAUAUUUUUUUCUAACGUGUUUGAUUAAAAAAUUAUGACAUCUUUAAAUUAGCGAAAUCAGUUUAAAAUAUAUUUUCAAGAAUACCAUCUUAAGUAUCAUUUUUGCAAACAAAUUAAAGCACAU
rnacentral:misc_RNA from 1 species